GUUCACCUUAGUUGAACUUGUGUGAUCUAGUUCACGGUAGUGUAAGGCUUUUCGUCCGUUGGCUGUUGGGAGGAUGAACAUCUCUUCUUGAUCAUUACAAAAACCAAACUAACGUUACCCUUAAAAGACGCAGUGUGUCGUCAUGUUUUUUGUGUGUAGAUGAGAAGGUUUUGAUAGUUUGCUCGCAGACAUACUGCAUUAACGGUCGUGUGUAAACCUCCGCGCGACAGAACAUUUCAGCCUGAACUUGGAGAAUAAAAACGGUCGUCGUGAUUUACCCAACGACUCCCUUCAAGUUUCUUUUGUUUGUUUGUUUUGCCGUUGGCCGUUUCUAACGACAGCUAAAGGAGCACGAAUGACCCAGACGAGGCUGAGAAGCGGACUCAAGCGAAUAAUUGGGGCUUGAAAUGGCGAAAAUCUCUUUCGGACUCAACCCAGAGAUGGAAUGUACGUCCUCCUUUUAUCUGGUUCGGGGAUUUUGGAUGACACUGACAGACAUGUGUGUUGCAGGACCACGCAGGUGAGAAACAAUUUGACAAACUGAAGUGACCAACAGCACACCCUUGCAGCACCACUCCAUGCCAGAAUAAGCCAGUUUUGUAAAGGAAAUCAUAUUUAUUAUUAAUUAAAUACAUUUUUAUUGGCUUAAAAAUAGGCAUAUUUUAAACUGUUUUGUUGAAUUGAUCUGGAUGUACUGGACACAUUUAAAUUUUACUUAAAUGUUAGAAAGUUUAUAUUACAAUAAUACGUAAUUAUUUUACGGUAUUUAAAGAUUUUGUAUAAUCAUCGUCUUUAAUGCAUACUGCAGCCAGUCUGCAGGCUUGCAGUAUUCGUGUGGUCUCUUUGAAAUGUGAAUUCUGUGUGGGAGGCCUCUCUGUUCAUCUUCCAUUUCAUGUUGAUCAUUUGGUGAAGUAAGAAGAUAUCAGGUAUUCUAGAUAUGUCCUUUCCCAACUAGAAUGUACAUGAUACAUAUUGCCUAAUUCUAAAUGUUCUGAUACUUGAUUACAUAUUCAGAACUUCUUACGCAGAUCAAAUCUUUCAUCAGACAGUGGGGUUGUUCAGAUCUAGGGCACGUCUUUGAGAGCUUAUUUCUAUGGUGGGCAGAGCAGAAAAAUAAUGAGGAUUGACCUGUUAGUCUCCCAUUGCAUCAGUUUGACUGAAAUUAGAGGCAGAUUUGGGAUGAAAGGUUCGCGGUAUACAGAUUGUCUGAAAAUGAUCACUUCAGUGUGCAUAACCACACUGAUCAAACAUGAUUUAUCUUAUCGGUGAAGUUGUCUGAUCUGCAGGGUUGGUUUUUGGCUUCUUUAUGACUGUCUUUCUCUAAAUCUGUUCAUCACUGUGUAGGUUGGUUGACAUGUUGAUUUUUACAUGGAUUUUCAAGUGCGUAAAAUUAGCAUGACACGAAUGAAAACAUUUAGUCUUUCUGUCUUUACUUUUGCCAAACAUCCCAGUACCUUACAAAUAAUUUUAUUUACUCAAGACUUUGUAAGCAAU